CCACACCCAGAGAGCUUCUUCCUCUGCUUCUGCCAGGGAGACAGGGGGUGCCAUCCAGAUCUCCUGCUCACAUCCAGCUGCUGCUGGCCAUGGCCAUUCCUGAAGGGAGAGCAUAAACGAAGGAGAGCAAAUUCUUCUGCAGAUAGUUCCUGUGUACUUUGGCUGAAUCCCUUAAGCUCCCUGGUGCUGCUGAUAUCCAUCUGCAGGAUGGGAGUAAGUGGAUGCAGAAUCUGCAAGCUGCUGUGAGGAUGCUCAUGCUGAGAUCCCAAGGAACGCAGUUGCCAUGGGGUGAGAUGAAUGUAAGUGUGCAAGAGCACUUGCUCUAAGUGCAGCUUUCUCUACAGAAACACCAGACAUAACUUUCCUCAAAAAAUCCCAGAGGGAAAUCCUUACAGGAGGAGCAAGUGCAAAUGUGGGAACUGGUUUGGGUCUACAACUUAAAUAAGCACUGCCAAGGAAAUCCAAGCUUCAGAGUUUCGCACUUCACCGUGAGAAAUUUCAGCUGCUGUCAUCACGGAUGCUGACCCUCUCCCUUGGGUACCCUCCACAGCAAAGACUAAGGCAACAUGUCACACCCCUAGCCCAGACUUUUAGCUCUCUAGGGCAGGUAAUUCUUAUUUUUAUGCCUUCUGGAAAAAUUAGAAAAAUAAGAAGGAAACAAUGUUCCUCUGGCUAUAUGGUUGCUCUCACUUAUUUUCUGAAGCCAUGGCAGGAAAAUCUACACGUGCCAGGAGAACAUACUUCAAAUCCUGUCUGCAUGGAAAACUUCACAUUCUCUUUUGCAGCACUAAUGCUGCUUCACUAAACAAUCCAUGGAGCAAAGGCUAGAGCAGAGAUGAUAUUUUUGCCUUUUUAGUGUAGACAUUGAUAUACAUCUUGAAGGAAUGCUGGACAGUAAGUAGUAAGAAACUAUUAGUAGUAAGAAACUAGAAGGGUGACACCCUCUAGCAGGACCCAAACAGGCAUCUCAGAUAUAGGCAGUUUUCUAAGCUUUGUGAAAUAUGAAAACAUCUACAAUUAUCUUCAGUAUCCUUAAAAAUGUGAUGGUUUUCCAGAUGCUACUUCCUACGCAAUUCUGGUGCUGAUAAAACUCUCACAGGCACUUAAGAACCCCCAGUGCGGGAUAUCCCAUGGCCCUGGGACAUCCAAAACUCCUGUCACAAAACUGGGGCUGGCUCAGUGGGGUGGGAUGGGGGGAUUACUCUGAGAAGCAUCAAUUUCCCCAGCCUGCUUUCCUACAGCUUCAUGCUUUACAUUGAAGACUCUGGUUCCUAAAGAGCCCCAGGUAUUUCACAGGGCUGAUGACUGUCCCUAGCCUGCUCUGCGGUGCGAGGGCUGCAUGGUGCGCGUGGGCGGCGAGAGGCUGAGGGAAGCCUGUGGGACCUGACGUGUCUCCCUCAGCUGGCGUGAGAACAGCCACGCUCACUUGCAGUCAUGAAACGUGCAGAAAUGUGUGUAUCUUUCAGACAUGUACCCUCUGCUAACUUCAAAAGCCACUGCUGGGGGUGGGGGGCACUGACAGACACGAACACCAUAAUUGCACACGUCUUGCUUCCUGCCUUAGGAAAACAGAAAGAAAACUCCAUUGGAAAAUAAAAAAAAUGAAAAAUACAGCAUGCUUCCAGACACUGCCAGCACUCUGCAAGGGCAAGGCCAGCUUCAGUGGCAGACAGCAUCGCAGGCAGCAGCCACCUGCCCACCCUGGCCCAGCCACCCGUGCCUCUCGCAUCCCUGUCUCCGGAAUCACCUGCUAUGGUUGUCACAGCAACACCUGGUCAUGGUGGGGCACUGGUGUGGCCAGUCCAGGCCUUGACCCACCCAGGAUUUGCAGGAAAUGGGAAUUUCUGGUCUCAGGGUUGCUGGUGGUGGUUGAGGACCAGUAAGCCCAGAUGUGCCAAUCUUGGCGCUCAGCCAGUACUGACCCUACAAAACCUGUAUCCUGAAACUGGGUGAAAUGGGAGCAGGUUUUAUAUGGGAGCAGGUUUUAUAUGGAUGAUGUUAUCCUAAUCGUAAAGAAAUACUACCGUCUUGUUCCCACGUGUUUCCGUGCCAAGGCUAUAGAGGAAGGGGCAAAAACUAUGUGCGAUCCUGUUUUCUUCACACCUUGCAGCCACCUCUCCCUCACCAGGUCUGUGGACCUGUCCCAUGCAGUCCCAGGUCAGCCGGGGAAGGGAAAGGGAAGGGAAAGGGCCAUCGGCCAACACACCACCUUGAGCCUGCAGAGCCGGGCAGGGCGGGAUCGGGAUCAGGCCUGGCCGCCAGUCAUUGCCAGGCAACUACGUAAAUAGGCAGGACAACAUUUCGACACCAGGCGUGUCCGUCCCCAGCGUUUACCCCUAACCCCUCCUGAUUUAAAAAAAAAAAAAAAAGAACAAGAACCAGCAAACAAAACAAACUGCAGCGAAAUGGCUGAAACAUGUUGUAACCAUCUGUGAAAGUCGGGCUCUCUCAUGACCCGCGAGAGGGGGGAGAAAGCGAGCGAGACAGCGAUUUGAGGGGGGAAAAGAAGCCCCAGCGGGAACCAGGCGUGGGUCAGCAGCUGAGGGCAAAGAGGGGUCGAGAGAGGCGGCACCUCUGACACUUCUUACCUUGUGGGCGAGGGAGGUUCGCGCUGGGCUGCCCCAGGAGAGCGAGAGGGCUGCGCGCCUCCCGCGCUCCCCGCCGCGCCCGGGGCUCCUUCCUCAGCCGGCCGGGCGGCUUUCCCUCCUUUUACGACAGCCUCCCUGCCUCUCCCAGGUAAGCGGCAGAACUGGCUCUGCAGCAGGAAGUGGAAGAGGCAGGCACGGCUCGGCGCGGUGGCGGGAGAGCCUCUGUGGGGGAGUGACACUUGGAGGCUCACGGCUCCCCGGCCAUGCCCGCCGCCUCUCCCGGGGGAAGCCGGGCGGCCUCUGCGUGAGCGCAGCGGAUAAAUAACUCAGGGGGAAGCCCGGUGUGAAUCCUAAACGGUGUGCCUCGUCGAGAAAGUCAUCCCUUGCUUUCAGCCCUCGGUCGCUUAUUGUCGGUGCCAAAUGUUAAAUCAGCUGUGAUUCAGACUACUGAAGACAAUCACAUGAUGCUUGUAAGAACUAUAUAAAGAACAUCGAAAAAAGGA